UUCUGGUUGAUCCUGCCAGAGGUUACUGCUAUCGAGGUUCGACUAAGCCAUGCGAGUCGAAUGUAGCAAUACAUGGCGUACUGCUCAGUAACACGUGGACAACCUGCCCUUAGGUCGGGUAUAAACCCGGGAAACUGGGUAUAAUCCCCGAUAGGCCUCGGCUGCUGGAAUGCAUCGAGAUUGAAAGCUCCGGCGCCUAAGGAUGGGUCUGCGGCCUAUCAGGUAGUAGUGGGUGUAGCGUACCUACUAGCCUACGACGGGUACGGGUUGUGAGAGCAAGAGCCCGGAGAUGGAUUCUGAGACACGAAUCCAGGCCCUACGGGGUGCAGCAGGCGCGAAAACUUUACAAUGCUGGCAACAGCGAUAAGGGAACCUCGAGUGCCAGGUUACAAAUCUGGCUGUCGAGAUGCCUAAAAAGCAUUUCAUAGCAAGGGCCGGGCAAGACCGGUGCCAGCCGCCGCGGUAACACCGGCGGCUCGAGUGGUAACCGUUAUUAUUGGGUCUAAAGGGUCUGUAGCCGGCCGGAUAAGUCUCUUGAGAAAUCUGGCAGCUUAACUGUCAGGCUUUCAGGAGAUACUGUCUGGCUCGAGGCCGGGAGAGGUGAGAGGUACUUCAGGGGUAGGGGUGAAAUCUUGUAAUCCUUGAAGGACCACCAGUGGCGAAGGCGUCUCACCAGAACGGACCUGACGGCAAGGGACGAAAGCUAGGGGCACGAACCGGAUUAGAUACCCGGGUAGUCCUAGCCGUAAACGAUACUCGCUAGGUGUCGGCCACGGUGCGACCGUUGUCGGUGCCGUAGGGAAGCCGUGAAGCGAGCCACCUGGGAAGUACGGCCGCAAGGCUGAAACUUAAAGGAAUUGGCGGG
rnacentral:rRNA from 1 species